GAUGAACGCUGGCGGCGUGCCUAAUACAUGCAAGUCGAGCGAACAGACGAGGAGCUUGCUCCUUCGACGUUAGCGGCGGACGGGUGAGUAACACGUAGGUAACCUACCUAUAAGACUGGGAUAACUUCGGGAAACCGGAGCUAAUACCGGAUAAUAUUUCGAACCGCAUGGUUCGAUAGUGAAAGAUGGCUUUGCUAUCACUUAUAGAUGGACCUGCGCCGUAUUAGCUAGUUGGUAAGGUAACGGCUUACCAAGGCAACGAUACGUAGCCGACCUGAGAGGGUGAUCGGCCACACUGGAACUGAGACACGGUCCAGACUCCUACGGGAGGCAGCAGUAGGGAAUCUUCCGCAAUGGGCGAAAGCCUGACGGAGCAACGCCGCGUGAGUGAUGAAGGUCUUCGGAUCGUAAAACUCUGUUAUUAGGGAAGAACGAAAGUGUAAGUAACUGUGCACGUCUUGACGGUACCUAAUCAGAAAGCCACGGCUAACUACGUG
rnacentral:rRNA from 1 species